rnacentral:rRNA from 1 species
GACGAACGCUGGCGGCGUGCUUAACACAUGCAAGUCGAACGGACAGACCCUGCGUUUGCUCCUCGGACGUGAGGGGCGCGGGGGAGUAAAACACGUGUAUCCCCUACCUGUAAUACUGGUAAAACUUCGAGAAUCCGGCUCUAAUACCAUAGAAUAUCUUGCUGCGUGUGGUGGAAUGGUAAGAUUCGGCGGUUGGGGCUCGAUUCGCGGCUUCUCAGCCUGUUGGUCGGGUAGUGGAUUACCAAGGUUAAGAAGGGUAGCCGGCCUGUGCGGGCGAACGGCGACAAGGGGACUGAGAGACGGCCCAGACUCCUACGGGAGGCAGCAGGGGGGAAUAUUGCGCAAUGGGCGGAAGCCUGAUGCAGCAGCGCCGCGUGCGGGAUGACGGCCUUCGGGUUGUAAACCGCUUUCUCCUGUGACGAAGCGGGAGUGACGGUAAUGGGUAAAGAAGCACCGGCUAACUACGUG